ACUAGGCUAAAAUUCAAAGAGAUAAAAGAGACUUGAAAGAAACUGUGGGAGUUGAAUUUAUAAAAUAUUUCACUCACUUGAACAACUCUAUAGCAAUUGUUUUCUAUUCUCCUUUCUCUUUUUAUUCUUUUUUUAGGAGGAGUAUGUAUUGACAUCCUUAUAUUUUUUUCAUUUUUUUUUCUUUUUUAUUUUCUUUUUCUAUUUUUGUUUUCUUUUUCUGCCAACUUCUAAAAU
rnacentral:lncRNA from 1 species